rnacentral:rRNA from 1 species
CACGUAGGGCGCGAGCGUGUCCGGAAUUAUUGGGCGUAAAGAGCUCGUAGGCGGCCUGUUGCGUCCGCUGUGAAAGCCCGGGGCUUAACCCCGGGUCGGCAGUGGAUACGGGCAGGCUAGAGGUAGGUAGGGGAGAAUGGAAUUCCCGGUGUAGUGGUGGGAAUGCGUAGAUAUCGGGAGGAACACCAGUGGCGAAGGCGGUUGCCUGGAGCUUUGCUGACGCUGAGGCGCGAAAGCGUGGGGAGCGAGUCCGG